UACGUAGGGUGCGAGCGUUAAUCGGAAUUACUGGGCGUAAAGCGUGCGCAGGCGGUUUUGUAAGUCAGAUGUGAAAUCCCCGGGCUUAACCUGGGAACUGCAUUUGGGACUGCAAAGCUGGAGUACGGCAGAGGGAGGUGGAAUUCCACGUGUAGCAGUGAAAUGCGUAGAGAUGUGGAGGAACACCGAUGGCGAAGGCAGCCUCCUGGGCUAGUACUGACGCUCAUGCACGAAAGCGUGGGGAGCAAACAGG
rnacentral:rRNA from 1 species